rnacentral:rRNA from 1 species
GACGUAGGGCGCGAGCGUUGUCCGGAUUUAUUGGGCGUAAAGAGCUCGUAGGCGGCUUGUCGCGUCGACUGUGAAAUCCCGCGGCUCAACUGCGGGUCUGCAGUCGAUACGGGCAGGCUAGAGUUCGGUAGGGGAGACUGGAAUUCCUGGUGUAGCGGUGAAAUGCGCAGAUAUCAGGAGGAACACCGGUGGCGAAGGCGGUGGUCUGGGCCGGAACUGACGCUGAAUAGCGAAAGCGUGGGUAGCGAACAGG